UACGUAGGGGGCUAGCGUUGUCCGGAAUCAUUGGGCGUAAAGCGCGUGUAGGCGGUCCGGUAAGUCCGCUGUGAAAGUCGGGGGCUCAACCCUCGGAUGCCGGUGGAUACUGUCGGGCUUGAGUACGGAAGAGGCGAGUGGAAUUCCUGGUGUAGCGGUGAAAUGCGCAGAUAUCAGGAGGAACACCAAUUGCGAAGGCAGCUUGCUGGGACGGUACUGACGCUGAGGCGCGAAAGCGUGGGGAGCAAACAGG
rnacentral:rRNA from 1 species